GGGGCUGUGCAGCAAGCGAGAACUUCGGUGGCUGAUGAGAAAGCGGAGCACCCCUCGUUCCCAGCCCGCUCCUCCUCCCACUGCACGCAAUGGUUGCAGGACAUCUUGAGGCUGAUUGCGGAGGUCAGGACUCAACUGGAAAGACCGCAACGGGUUGCUGACUGGCAUCCACGGCCCAGAUAAGAUAAAAACAACUGAUGACAGCGGGGAAGUGAAACAGUCAUCUCAGCACUUGGAUUAAUGCCCGGCGAGAAGGAAGGGGAAAAAAAACGAGGAGGGCCGUCAGGGAGGGGAAGGGGGUGGAAUACGGAUGAGAAUAGAAACUCUGGAAAAAAGCUAUCAGGAGGCAGCAGAGCCGGGUGUUAAAUAUUUAUGAAUUAGCAGCACUCGUCGUGCCCUGCCUGCGCCGUGUGGGUGCUGAGAGGGAUGGGGAUGAGGGGAGCAUGUGGCCGUGGCUGGGCUGCAGCAGCACCACGCAGAACAAAUGCAGGUGAAGAGAAGGAGAAAUGAGGCGCUACGAAAGCCGCUAUUCCAAAAAUUCUGCUGAAGAGCAGCGGGGUAAUUAAAUCAUAAUUGCUUCUUGCUCAGCCUGUGUGACAUUGUGAGUGGCUGAAGGUGGUGAGGAGAGGAGGGGAAGUUUUGCUGCUGCUCCACUCGCAAUGGGGCAGCCCCGGACCUGCUGGGCCCCAACGCUCUGCCCCCGCCCUCUGCUCCGGGCUGGGUGCUGCCUCCCGCUGCAUCCCACUCUGUGCUGUGCUGGCACAGCCCUGGUAUGUGCCAGACCUGGGUGUGAGGAGCUGAAGUGCCAAAUCCGAGAGCUUUGGAGGAGCCAUUCCCAACCGUGAGACAAACAGCCUGCAAAUCCUGUAGGCAGUGAAUUACACUGCGGUGUUGUGUAACGUUUAAGGGGCUGAUGUGACCUGGCAGCAUGAAGGACACUUAGGGCUCAGGCUUAAAAACCUGAACCUUCGCAGCACGUGGCUCCAGGGUGGGUUUUCUCUUCCCCACCGUAGCAGCUGCACUGGGAUCAGAGACUCUUUUCAACUCUGUGGACGUUCCGAGUUCUGCUGAAGUUUCCUCCUUUUUGUUUCAAAGUCACAGAAACACUUGGUGCGUUCCGAAGCGCACUGGAAUGAGGUCCUCCUGCACGUGGGUACAGUUGAGCAGCAGUUCGGAGGUGACGCGGGGAUGCUGGCAUGCAGGGUGCAGGACAUCCCCAGGCUGUGGGCACUGCGGGGGAUGCAGCUCUGCAGCCCCUUACCAACCAUCCCAUCCAUUCUGCUGGGAGCAUGGGAUAAGACCCGCUGUGGUGCUCCCACUUCCAUGGAAAAGAGCAUCCCUGCUGUGGUGGGCUGGAGAAUAACUGUGCAGCUCGUGGGAAGCUCCGGCCUUUGGCACUGUGAGGGAAGGUUGAGCAGGUUGUGCUCCCACCUGGUGUAAUUGUUUCUUCGGUAGCUGUAAGGUGAGUCACGGGGCGGUGCUGUGGAUGAGCAGUGAGCUGAGGAGCUGCCUGCUGCUGUAGGGCUGGGGAUGCUGCAGCCUGCCUGACCUGGGCACAUCCCCUGAGGAGCUUUGGGAGUGAUCCUAGCUGGAACACUCAAAACUACAAAAGUGUGUGUGUGUAUAUAUGUAUGUAUUAUUCUCUAAUGGGAAUCGCCUGUUGCUCCUCCCCAUCCCUCUCACCAUGCAGAUGGGACGUCCCUACCUGGGAUCCCAGUGGGCACCAGUGGGAGUGCUGUGCCCACAGCUGAUCCUGGCACCGGCUGGAAGGCAAUGGGAGGAGGAAAAGGGCUCUGGCGACGCAGACAAUAAAAGUCUCUGCGUUCCACUGAAGUUUCUUGAGCAACUGGCAUUUGCCCAUAAAUGUACUUAAGCAGAAAAUCACCAGAAAAGUGCUAUAAUCUGACAGAUUUUUCACAGGCUUAAAUAUUCAUGAAUUAAAAGAAUUGGCAGAAUUUUCUACAUUAUUAGCUUUCAGCAUGGCUACGGGAGCAGUUGGUGCACUGGCUGCUCUUCAAAAACUAUUAAUCUAGUCUGUCAUCACAGCAGCCAUUUUUUAAUUAGCUACUUUGCUGAACGAUCUGGUGCAGCAGCGAGACUGGAACAUUUACGUGGUAUUAAAGUUUUAAAGGUGCCCCUUUCCAUUUUUAAGCAAAGUUCUGAAACGCAGCAAUAGGGAAGCGAGGCGGAGGCGGAUCGCCCCGCUCCAAUGGUUAACUGCUGCUUUUAUUUUGGAAAACCACGGCUUGGAAUACUGAGCUGCUUCUAUGAGGAGCAGAAAUUGCGUGAAAUAAAUUGGUUCUCUAAA